rnacentral:rRNA from 1 species
UACAGAGGGGGCAAGCGUUGUUCGGAAUUACUGGGCGUAAAGGGCGCGUAGGCGGCCUGCUAAGUCGAACGUGAAAUCCCUCGGCUUAACCGGGGAACUGCGUCUGAUACUGGAUGGCUUGAGUUCGGGCGAGGGAUGCGGAAUUCCAGGUGUAGCGGUGAAAUGCGUAGAUAUCUGGAGGAACACCGGUGGCGAAGGCGGCAUCCUGGACCGACACUGACGCUGAGGAGCGAAAGCCAGGGGAGCAAACGGGG